rnacentral:rRNA from 1 species
UACAGAGGUCUCAAGCGUUGUCCGGAUUCAUUGGGCGUAAAGGGUGUGUAGGCGGCGCGCUAAGUCGGGUGUGAAAUUUCGGAGCUUAACUCCGAAACUGCAUUCGAUACUGGCGUGCUUGAGGACUGGAGAGGAGACUGGAAUUCAUGGUGUAGCAGUGAAAUGCGUAGAGAUCAUGAGGAAGACCAGUGGCGAAGGCGGGUCUCUGGACAGUUCCUGACACUGAGACACGAAGGCCAGGGGAGCAAACGGG